rnacentral:lncRNA from 1 species
GUGUGUGUGUGUGUGAGAGUGAGAGUUUGAGUACUUGGAGACACCCUCGGGGACGACGAAUCGUUCGUAACGAUCGGGUGCAUUCAUUGUCGCUUCCUCACUGCUUUUUGCUUCGGCUUCUACUACAAUAAAACCAAUAUGUUUUUUAAACACGAAACCGGAUUUUAAUUUUUUUUUUUUCAUACAAAAAUUUUAUAUGAUUGUAACAGAUAAACAACAAAAACUAAAAUUACAACAUUCUACUUUAUAUUUUUGGUAAAUAAAAACAACAAUGUUCUAAUAUUCAUAGAAUCAUUCCCAUUAUCGGUGUGUUCUAUUGUUUGAUUUUUUAUUUUAUUUUUAUGGUAUUAAUCCUUUUCCUGCUUUAUAACCCCCAACCAAACACACCCCCGCGGAAUUUCGUUCCUCCGGCGAAUCAAAUUCAACACAAGCACAAAAUACAAAUAGUUUACAGAGAUGGCUUACAGCGGCUUGUGGCGGUGGGCUGUGGCGGCGAAUUGCGGCAGCGGCGGGAAUGGUGGAAGCCCUAAUAGCACAGGGGCGGUGCCAGUGAAGAAGAAAGGAAAAUUGCAAUUGACAAUUUGUGCUACACUGCU